UAAAUCCACAGUGAGAGAAAACAGUCCCAGUAGUUAUCAGGGACUGGAGAGAGGGAAGAAUGAGAAGUGACUACUUCAUGGAUACAAGGUUUUCUCUGGGGGUGAUGAAAAUAUUUUGACAUCUGAUAAAGGUGGUGGUAGUACAGCACUGUGAAUGUACCAAUUGCCACUGAAUUGUGCAUUUUAAAGUGAUUGAUUUUAUGUGGAACAAAUUUCACUUUAAUUAUAAAAAGUGAAUAAACUUUUAGAAGCUAACCUUGGAAGAAGGUAGAGACUGGAAGGGAUCACAAGAAAGGCUUCUGGGAUGUUGACCGUGCAGCAUAACUGUCUGACAUUGGCAUGCCAUUUGUAAACUGUCAAAGUGAUGGUUGGGAGUGUAGCAGUGAGGACAACCAGAGGUCACUCUCAUCACCAUCUUGGUUUGGGUUGAUUUCUCUAAGAAGUACAUGCUGAAAUGAAGAUAAGAGUACAAAAUAUUUAUCGGAGAGUAGUAACACAGAGGAGACACAGGAUUUGGCAGAAACACUAAACCAUGGUGAAGACCGGCUAAAGUCUCUUUGUCCAAAGGGGAGCUCUAAAGUAAAUAUGAGCCAUUAAGGGAGCCCCACACUGGAUGGAAAUGGCCAAGCCUUUUUACAACCACCUUCUCCUUGAGACACUGCCUGCAAUUCACCCUGGGAAAGCAAAACCUCAACUGUUUCUGCCUCAUUCAUUCUUUGUCAGUGCCGUAAGAAGAUUGAGAUUUCAGCUUGUAACUGUUGAAGCAAAACCUAAAGUGGUUAAUAAUGGGAGUUUGUCACAACUAUCUUAACACAAAUAUAAAAUAUUUGCAUGAACUGUAAUAACCUUUUAUUUAUAAAUUAAAAACUUAUUGAUAAAAUACAGAUUUCAAUAACAUUAGUAAAAAAUCUUUUCACUUUUCUUAAGUAAUUCAGAAUAGAUCAUCUUUCAUUUUAGUUCCUACACUUGAUCCUUAGAAGAAAAAGAAACCUAUUUUUUUUAUAAUGCAAACACUUUAGUUUAACAUAAACAAGAAAAAGGGAAGACUGGCUGAGAAAAAAAAACUCUAAAAACCAUCUAGCAUAUUCAAAAGAUAAUUCAUGCCUUUGAGAUCAUUUAAGCAGUACAUCACCUUUAGUUAUAAAGAGAAAUGUGAAACUAUUUUUACAAUUAAUUACAUCUAUCAGCAGGAAAUAAAAUGUAUUCAAAAUUGACCUGUAUAUGAGUGAUGGUUGUAACAGAGUUAUUGAUUUUUCCUGUUGGGAAAUGCCAUCCAAAACUGGCAUGAUCUUUUCAAGUAAACUCAAAAUCCGAACAAUGUCUUCAAAAGUAGGCAUGUUGUUAACAAUGGUCCCUGCUGUUUUCUAUGAAUGGGCAGUAAUAUUCUCUAUAACAUUAGCCCUUGGAAAUUAAAAUGUCCUUUGUUGAAAACAGAGAAAUCUGUCAAAAUGCUAUGUUUUUUUAUAAGGAACACUGCUAAUCCUAUAAAACGGCUUCUUCCUCUCACCUAAUCACUACAAUUAUGCCUCUAAACUAACAGAAAGAUACCAAAUCUAAUCUCUGACAAAGUAUCACAGUGACUAAAAAGGGAAUUAAUGUACUUGCAAGGGAGUAGAGAGAAUAUACUGUAUUUUGGACAUUGCGCAUGCUAAAUUCUGUCUUAAAGUAAUUUAAGAAAUAAAAUUUAUGAAAAUUCUUCUGGGAAUAAAUAUUACACAGUAGCCUUCAAAGAGAAAUUCCUUGCUGUGAGUCAUAGGCAUAUGCAAAGGACUAUUUGAAACUGCCUUAAAUGAAUCUUAUUUAGGGAAAAUUACAGACUAGAAGAAAAUACGAGUUCAGAAUUUGGACGAAGCUUGGAGAACAAAUAUUUGUAUAUAAACAGAGGUUCAAAUAAUUGCAAAUCAGUUAUCUCUAGGAAUUGUGAAAACUACUCUGAGGAAAAGAGUGCUGGCUUGGGUACUAAGCUCUGCAGUUUUUCCUUGCUCUAUUUGUAUUUGUUCAUGCCAAAAUCACACUGUCUAAG
rnacentral:lncRNA from 1 species